AAAAGAGUAGCUGCGCUCCCCUGCUAGAACCUCCAAACAAGCUCUCAAGGUCCAUCAUGAGGAGGAUGAUGCAGC
rnacentral:sRNA from 1 species